GGGCAAUGAAGAUUGAAAUCGUUUCUCGAUGCUGAGUUGGUUGAUUACUCGACCAUUGUUUUUCUUUGAUGACCGAUUUGUGCGUGUCUGAGCUCC